rnacentral:rRNA from 1 species
GACGAACGCUGGCGGCGUGCUUAACACAUGCAAGUCGAACGAUGAAGCUGGAGCUUGCUCCGGUGGAUUAGUGGCGAACGGGUGAGUAACACGUGAGCAACCUGCCCUUGACUUCGGGAUAACUGCGGGAAACUGUAGCUAAUACCGGAUAUGACCUCGGAAGGCAUCUUCUGAGGUGGAAAGUUUUUUCGGUCAAGGAUGGGCUCGCGGCCUAUCAGCUUGUUGGUGAGGUAACGGCUCACCAAGGCAACGACGGGUAGCCGGCCUGAGAGGGGGAACGGCCACACUGGGACUGAGAUACGGCCCAGACUCCUACGGGAGGCAGCAGUGGGGAAUAUUGCACAAUGGGCGAAAGCCUGAUGCAGCAACGCCGCGUGAGGGACGACGGCCUUCGGGUUGUAAACCUCUUUUAGUAGGGAAGAAGCGAAAGUGACGGUACCUGCAGAAAAAGCACCGGCUAACUACGUGCCAGCAGCCGCCGUAACAC